CAAGGGGAGCGGCAGACGGGAGAGUAACACGUGGGAACAUACCUUUUGGUUCGGAACAACUGAGGGAAACUUCAGCUAAUACCGGAUAAGCCCUUACGGGGAAAGAUUUAUCGCCGAAAGAUUGGCCCGCGUCUGAUUAGCUAGUUGGUGAGGUAACGGCUCACCAAGGCGACGAUCAGUAGCUGGUCUGAGAGGAUGAUCAGCCUCAUUGGGACUGAGACACGGCCCAAACUCCUACGGGAGGCAGCAGUGGGGAAUAUUGGACAAUGGGCGCAAGCCUGAUCCAGCCAUGCCGCGUGAGUGAUGAAGGCCUUAGGG
rnacentral:rRNA from 1 species